GCGAUCAUACCAGCACUAAUGCACCGGAUCCCAUCAGAACUCCGAAGUUAAGCGUGCUUCCCAUCAGAACUCCGAAGUUAAGCGUGCUUGGGCGAGAGCAGUACUAGGAUGGGUGAUCCCCUGGGAAGUCCUCGUGUUGCACCU
rnacentral:rRNA from 1 species